GCUUGUUAAAAAAAAAAAAAAGUAUCAAAACAAUUGAAAAAAAAGAAUCGUGAAAUUAGGGUUGAAAAGAAUGGGUAUUAGACUUGUUGUGAACAGAGUUCCCCUUCUCCUCUGUCGAGCUUCGAGAUAGCCUUCUUCUUCGGCGAAUUCUCUUUCGCCUUCACUCCGACAUAGCCUUCUUCCUCAUCUUGCUUCAACACCGCCGUCGACACUCCGUUUCAGUGUUACUUCAAAUCGUGAUUUUUGAAUGUGAAAGUAAAAGGAAACAAUGGCCGAAAGGGAAACCGUUAUGGCGACGAAACCAAGAGUUCGUCGUUUCGUAAGAGUUGGAAUUUUUCUAAUCUCUCACAGUAACUAUGUUAGCUUCAUAGGUUUCGUAUCAGGAAUCGUUGCUCUUCUUCUUCUACCUAUACUCGCCAAGAAUACUUACAUUUCCGAAAAUGCUCUCAUGCCAGGUUCUGCUAACAAUAUGCUCUCUACUCAACACGUUUUACACGCCACCGAAUUCGUCAAUGAUUUAACUGAUUCUGUCGAUGAAAGUCAUAAAAUUAUUGCACAGUAUAUGUCGGCGUUGGAAGCUGAGGUUACUUAUCACAAGUUCCAGCCACAACUGAAUCAGUUUAAUCCACUGCAUUUUUUCACAAGUCCGGAUUCCGGUAUAGUCUCAAAAAAUAUAAGUUGUUCAUCACUUGGAAUCAACAUUGCUGGAAUUAUUAGAGCACCGCGGGGUGAUGGCAAGGAAUCUAUUGUCUUGGUAACGCCUUACAAUCCAAGGAAAGUUGGUUCAGGAGAGGCUUUGUCUCUGGGCAUUGCUUACUCGGUGUUCUCACUGCUUUCACGGGUUACAUGGUUGGCAAAGGAUGUCAUAUGGCUUGUGGCAGAUUCACAAUACGGAGAAUAUGCGGCAGUGGAUGCUUGGCUAAGAGAGUACCAGGCUCCUGCAUUCUAUGAAGCUGAUAUAGAUAAUAGUGAAACUUGCAAUGCUAUUAAUGAACUUGGACAGAGUCCUUCUUCUGAUAGGAAGUUAUACGGUGGUUUUAGACGUGCUGGAACUAUGGCUGCAGCUCUUGUAAUAAAAGUUGCGGAGCAAGGUAACCGUCAUGAAGACAUUCUUAAUAUCUACCCCGAGGCGUCAAAUGGGCAGAUGCCAAACCUCGACCUCAUCAAUAUUGUAAAUUAUCUCGGAGUGCAUAAACGUGGUUUGCGAGUAAAGGUGAACAAGAUGUUUUCUCUAUUUGGCUCCAAGUGGCUUAAUACUUUGGGUGGUAUAUUAGAAUCUCUGGGACAAAUUGCUAGGAACUUGAAUCCUCAAUGGAAGUUUGGUAUUUCUGCUACUGAGUAUGUUGAGGGCACAGCUACCCUGGCAAGUUCAUUGUAUUUACAGGGGUUGGGUGUUCCCACUGGUCCUCAUGGUGCCUUCCGUGAUUAUCAAGUUGACGCAAUAACUCUGGAGAUUUCACCAAAAGUUUCUCCUGAUAAAAUGAUCAGUCGUAGUCGUAAUGAAUUUAUUCUCCGUGGUGGAAGGUUGAUUGAAGGAGUCGUACGCUCAAUAAACAACCUUCUUGAGAAGUUCCAUCAGUCGUUCUUUUUGUACCUCUUGACAUCUUCUAGUAAGUUUGUGUCUGUAGGAGUUUACAUGAUUCCAUUUGCAUUGCUUGUUGCACCACUCCCGAUAGUUGCGGGAUCUCUCUAUGCCGAAGCGAGCAAAUCCACAUCUUCCACUGAAGUUGUUGUCAGCCACAAAUCUUGGAAAUGGCUGAACUCAGCCAGAAAGGUUUUGGCUAUUCAUUUAUGGGGUGCUGUUGUUUCCUUACUCCCAUAUUUCCUAUAUCAUAUACCUAACUCCACCCCAACAACAAACUUUACAGUGUGGGGUUUAUUAUCAGCUUUUAGCCUCCUAAUUUUGUACUUCAUAUUGGGUUCUCCGAUUUUCGAAUCUUCCACAUCCCAACCCGAGAAAGGCGAAUGGGCUAGCUUAAAGUCCGUAACAAUAUCAACCGCUUUCAUUGGUUUAUCUCUCAUGUCAGUCAUUAACUUCGCUACAGCAGAAAUCGGAGCAUUACUCAUUGUCCCGAUUUGUUUGAUGACUCGACCAUUGAAGCUUGAUAUUCAAUCCAGAAGUUUCAGAACCUUAUUGAGGGCCACAUGUAAUCUUGCUCUAGGUCUUGUUAUCUUCCCUCCAGUAGCAUAUUUUUUAAUAAAAGGCACAUUUGAAGGUUUUUAUGGUAUUAAUGUUGGUGAGUAUUGGAACUGGGUGGAAUCCCUUUGGACAUGGAACAGUGCUACUUACCUCUAUGUAGACUUCCUUUGGAAAUGGUUUGGGAUGCAUUCUUUAAGGGAGGCGACAACAAUUUCUCGAUUUUUGUUCAUCCUAGGCCAGGGUUUCAAUUGAACGAGGCAACAACAAGAUCAUCAUAUUUUUCGCAAGAAAGUUUACUAGGACUGCUGCUUUGAGGCUUCUUAACAUGUCUGUUCUGCGAGAUUUCAGUUAAGAGAAGAAAAUGCUUAUUGCUUGAGAGGCUGAUACAAGCAGAACAUGCAUUUAGUAUAAAAAUGUGAGGGAGAAAAGAGAAUAAAGCAAGGGCAAUUGAAGAUUGUUGACUGCCACACUAUAUGUAUAUUGAAUUGUAUUGUAUAAUAAUGGACCAUACAUAGAAAAAAAAAUGUUUGUGACACUGAUGCAUAUUAUUUGUCUAGUUUGGUAAUAUAGUUUGUUAACCUUUAAAGAAA